AGGGACCUACGGGGCGCAGCAGUGAGGAAUAUUGGUCAAUGGGCGCAAGCCUGAACCAGCCAAGUCGCGUGAGGGAAGACGGCCCUACGGGUUGUAAACCUCUUUUGCCGGGGAGCAAGCCUGAGCACGUGUGCCCAGGCGGAGAGUACCCGGAGAAAAAGCAUCGGCUAACUCCGUGCCAGCAGCCGCGGUAAUACGGAGGAUGCGAGCGUUAUCCGGAUUUAUUGGGUUUAAAGGGUGCGCAGGCGGGCAGGUAAGCCGGCGG
rnacentral:rRNA from 1 species